UGCUGAUUCGCUGACGAGUGGCGGACGGGUGAGUAAUGUCUGGGAAACUGCCUGAUGGAGGGGGAUAACUACUGGAAACGGUAGCUAAUACCGCAUAACGUCGCAAGACCAAAGAGGGGGACCUUCGGGCCUCUUGCCAUCGGAUGUGCCCAGAUGGGAUUAGCUAGUAGGUGGGGUAACGGCUCACCUAGGCGACGAUCCCUAGCUGGUCUGAGAGGAUGACCAGCCACACUGGAACUGAGACACGGUCCAGACUCCUACGGGAGGCAGCAGUGGGGAAUAUUGCACAAUGGGCGCAAGCCUGAUGCAGCCAUGCCGCGUGUAUGAAGAAGGCCUUCGGGUUGUAAAGUACUUUCAGCGGGGAGGAAGGGAGUAAAGUUAAUACCUUUGCUCAUUGACGUUACCCGCAGAAGAAGCACCGGCUAACUCCGUGCCAGCAGCCGCGGUAAUACGGAGGGUGCAAGCGUUAAUCGGAAUUACUGGGCGUAAAGCGCACGCAGGCGGUUUGUUAAGUCAGAUGUGAAAUCCCCGGGCUCAACCUGGGAACUGCAUCUGAUACUGGCAAGCUUGAGUCUCGUAGAGGGGGGUAGAAUUCCAGGUGUAGCGGUGAAAUGCGUAGAGAUCUGGAGGAAUACCGGUGGCGAAGGCGGCCCCCUGGACGAAGACUGACGCUCAGGUGCGAAAGCGUGGGGAGCAAACA
rnacentral:rRNA from 1 species